rnacentral:rRNA from 1 species
UAUGGAAGGGGCAAGCGUUGUUCGGAAUCAUUGGGCGUAAAGGGCGCGUAGGUGGUUCUGUAUGUCUACCGUGAAAGCAUACAGCUCAACUGUAUUUUGUCGGUAGAAACUGCAGGACUUGAGGCUGGGAGGGGCUGGUGGAAUUCCCUGUGUAGCGGUGAAAUGCGUAGAGAUUUGGUGGAACACCGGUGGCGAAGGCGGCUAUCUGGCUCACAACUGACGAUCAGGCACGAAAGCGUGGGUAGCAAACAGG